AGGGAUAGUGAUAAGGGGUUGGGGGGGGGGGAAUCCUGUUUUGUGAUUUUUUUUUUUUUAAACGAGGAUCCGUGCCUCCCUUGCUGUUGUCAGAGCAAAACACUUCUGCUGCCUAAAGUCAGAUCUACGUCUUUUGCAAUAACACUUAAAAAAAAAAAAAAAGGAUAAAUAAUUGCCUUAAAGCCUCAGCCGAACUGCCAACCACACCUUCGGAUGGAAUCUGGAAGAUGCCCAUGCCCAAGACAAUGGUGAGGAUUGGGCCAAAGUCCAGAUCCAGCCUUGAUUCCUUCAUCCAAGUUACCCUGUGUUGACCCACGACUGCUGAUGGAGGCCAGAGACGUGGACCUGCCCCUCUCCUCACUGCCCUGCAUCAGAUCACCAGGAGGACCUGAGAGUGCUGUACGAACCAUCACAAGACUGUGAUUGGAAAGUGUGGGGACCAAGCACUCAGGGAGGUGGCUGAUGCAGCUGGUUCCUGGCCCUGGGCUGUGGGUCAGCUCUUGGACAUGGCACAAGCCACCAGAGGCCAGAGGAACAUUGUGGGGACAGUUUCUGUCCUGGCUACUCCUCAUCAGUGCUUCGAGCUGCACAAAGCCCUGAGAACCAAGGCAACACGAGUGCUCCACCAGGGAUUUGCUCCUCUCAUGGUCUGCACCUGAAGCACAGCACAAAGUUCCACCCUUUGCUUCUGCAGCAAGUUCUUGUUACCCAGUCCUUGCUGACAAGAGGGGAAGAGGCAGAAGUCAGCUCAGAAAAUGAACGACUGGAAGGCUGGGGUCAUGAGCUGCAUUUGGAGGAAGAAAAUUCCAUGCAGAGAUGUGACUCCUGUGUGAAUAUUGUGCCAGGGUAAGAGAAAUUUUGUUCAGUUUGGGGUUUAUACAAUAUGUAAAGUCCACAUAAAGUCUGUUGUUCAUCCCAGCCUAGUUAAACUACAUUUGACCACCACUUUUUCAACCCAGUAAAGUGUACCUGAGUACCACAGCAACACCUGCUCUAUUUAUAUAUGAAGAUUAUUUUGCCAGGUCAGCCCUUUAGGAUUUAACAUUUCAUUCAUGAAGGAUUCCAUAACACAUGCCUAGUUGUGCUCUCUCUCUACCUCCUGAUGAUUUGGGUGAUUUUCUCUAGCUAAUUUAUAUUUUAAUUCGUUGUAACACUUCUUUACUUUCUAAUUCGAACAACUGAGACUUAAAAAAAAAAAAAAAAAAGCUAAAAAAUAACUCUCAAAGUCUGAAUGGAUACUCAUAAUUUUCUCUUCAGUACUUGCAGGUUAUUUUAGAUGACAUUUUCAUGUUGACUGCUCUCUGUUAGUUCUGCUCAGACAGAAGGGAGUGGAUCAUGUGUUAUAGGUUUCUUUACAGAUGAAACCUAGACUGUCCUAAAGUCCAGUAACUCCUCAACACCAGCAACUCCCACACCCCUCUGUGCUCCUACCAUUCCUUUGAACCAAUUUAUUUGUUCAUUUGGGCUUUAAUUGCUCAGAUGCAUUCCUUCUUGCUGCAACAGCAGGGGUAUAGGAAGGGGUGUUUGAAACCACGCAGUCAUUUCCACCCUGGAUUUCAUGAGGAGUUAUUCUUGUCUCAGAGAUGACGCAUUCAAAUAUCCCUCUAUGGAUUCCAGGUGAGUUAGUCACAUUUAGAUGCUUCCAAGUAAUACACAGAAAGGUGCUGAGAAAAUGGUGAGUCUCUGCCUAGUUACAAAAUAAAAAAGAAAAAAAGUGCUCAGAAAAGUAGAUCUGAGCAAAUUACAUCAGUAGCCCUGAAAAUAUUCUAAAAAGACCUGGGGCCAAAGGGCUUUUACUUUAAAAACUGUAGGGAUGCUCAGUAUUUACUUUACUGACUGACCCAUCAGCUGCUCUCUGUCCCUAGAAACAGUUCAGGAAAUAACUGGAAGUAUCUGAAGACAUAAAAAGGAUAAUUAAGUUUCAUUGUGGAAAUAAGAGGGUAAUCUGUCCAGACAAAUCUAGGACCUAGUACUGAAAGCCACAGUAUCUGAAUAUAAAAAAUGAGUAAUUUUGAAAGAAGAUGUCUAUCAGGACUGUAAAUUCAGAGAGUAAAAAAGUAGCUUUGCUUAAUAGACCAUCUCUCUCUCCAUCUCCCUCUAACUCAUUUUCUUAUUCUCUUUCUUCCUUUUGUGUUAUUGCAAAAAAGUGUGUGCAAAAUCUGAUACUGAGAAUGCUUUAGCUUCAUUUCAAUCUUCUAUUCUCAAAGUGUUUCAUUCCACUGGGAAGAUUCCCCCUGGGAGAUAACCUCAGCCAUGACUGCACGAGGCUCGUGGGGUGACUGAUUUGCAGAGGAACAACUGUAUUUUGAGGUGGCUCUGAGGCAGCCAGCUCCCCACACUGCUGAGGCUCUUAAAGAUAUUUUUGAGCUGGCAUGAGAAAUCACCUGGGACUCAGAGCAGACCACAAGUGCUUAGGACAGUGUUUUCUCUGCACCUUUUUUUGCUGAGCAGGAUUGCAGCACUAUAAACAAAUGUGAGUUUUGCCUCAUUCUUAGGUCCUGUGAGUUAUGAAAGCCCACUCCAGAUGUAAUGAAUGUAUAGAUCAUUUUGACCAGAUCAUAAUCUAUUAGUAAAUAAUGCUCUCUGAAAAAUGUAUAGGUUAAAUAAAGAACUUCUUGCUACUAUUGCUGUACUGGUAUCAAGGAUUACUGUGGAGGCCAACAUGAUCCUGAGGCUUUGUGCUACUGACAUUUAAAUACAAUGCAGAAUGAACUGCAGUUUGGUUUGGUUAGCAAAUUCCCUUCUGGAUUAGGAUAUUCAGGAUUUACACUGCUGGAAACAGAACCCAAAACUCUACAAGGCUCCACCUGUGCCUUGGCUUCAGCUCACUCACACCCUCACUCAUAUUUAUAGAAUUUUUCCAUUAGAUUCCUAAUUUUGGUGGUGAUAUUAAUUUGCAAAUCACACGAUACUUUUCAGAAUGAGUAGAAAGCCCUGUAACACCUAUGACUUUUCUCCACUAUCCCUGGAGGAAGCCCAAGGGUACCAGUCUAAGACCUAAGGCAAAUUGUCAGCACGGUCUAUAGGCCAUGGGAAGGUUAGGUUUAAAGAAGAUGUCACUUUAGGGACAUCUGUGUGACACAUGCUGCAGUGUCCAGACAUUGGAGACUAUGUUUUUGCUCUAAAUCUAGAGAGGAAGUCACUAGGAAAAAAAGGGAAAGAAGCACGGGGGAAUAAAAGUACUUUUGAAAGAGAAGAAAUCUACAUUUCAAUGAAAAUCCUUUCAAGGCAUUUCAAAUAAGAGUCUGAGAGAAAUAAUUACAAAGUUUGGAGAGAAAGAACGUUAGCUUUGAUAUCUUUUUCUUCUAUGAAGCAAUUAAAAUAAGCAAUUUUUCAAAUACUAAGCAGAAAAUUACUAAUGGCUGAACCCAAAAGCUUUCAUUUCCUUCUUGGGGCCUUUAUUCUUCUAAAAAAAGACAAAAAAAUGUGAAGGUGGUUUUCCAGAUAGAUUAAUGCAUAAAGCAGUCGCUAGUUGGAUGUCAUAAAAACUACAGCAGCAUAGAAUAGCUGAGAUUAAGAGCUAGAUUUAAAUCAUGCAACAGUCCAGUUAAUAUCAAUGUCUAAUUAAGAAAUGCAUAAGAAGUCUGUAAUGUUGAUUUGAUGGAGAAAAACUCUAAUAGGGUUUCUUUUGGAAUUUUCCAUUUCAAUUGCUGUGUAGACUUUUAAUGGAUGUCCUAUCCAGUCUUUGGUAUUAGCAGGAAUGAUCUUCAAAUUAAAACCAAGGCCUAAAAUGGAACACAGGUAGACAAAUUAGCUGGUCUGGGAAGCAGCCUGGGUAGAAUGACAAUGUGAGCUGAAGCCGAAAUUUUAGCACAAAUAAAAGAGAACAAACGUCUCAAAUCUGGGGUGGAAACCCUCUCUGCUUCUCGUUUGAAACAAUCCAAAACCCUGUAAUUUGAAACAAAGCAAAGUUAACCCAUUUCCCCACCUCCCUAAGCCUGCAGAAAUCCCUGACAAUUCGUACUUAGACACCUAGGCCACUAAGCACUAUUAAUUAGUCUUUUUUAUUUAAAAGACUUUCCAUAGUUAUGCAUAUUAGUCGUGUGUAGAGGUGGGUUCUUCUCUGCUUGUGAUGGGAUUUGGAGCACACAGGUCCCUGUCACCCUCAACGAGCACCAUUAAUCUUCCCCUCCUCUCUGGGUAACUAAAUCUCUUAAACCCCUGGAGCAAAACUAAGCCUGUGGUGUCUUCUGUGUCCCAUGGAUCAUCCAAGACGUUUGGUCUCUAGAUAUGAAAGGGGAAGUGGUUUUGAGCACAUCACUAAUGCCCUGAAGUUGCUAAAAGGAGAGCAGUGUAGCUGUGAGUAUGCACAAAUCCACUUAGCAAAGAAGGGGAGAGCACACUGCUGGGUUAAAGCAGCAGUGUGUUUGUUAUCACCACCCUGUUGUUGAUCCAACAGAUCCAGAGGGAAUGAUCUCAAGGAUCCAGGAAGGUGGCACACUCAGAGUAACCCCUCUGACCAAUGCACGUGGGGGAGUAAUUUGAAAGUUCAUUAAAAUAUAAUACAUUAAAAUAUAAUACAUAGGCCAUGGCAAAGCAAGGCAUGUGAUUCCAUCUGUUCACAUGUCUUUUUCCAGUACUAAAUCCAUCCAGAGACCUUUCAGAAUUAAGUCUUGUCUCUUCCACAGAGAGUGGAAAAGAUUGAAGGUGAAAAUCAGAGUAACCCUAAAAUUCUGCCACUUUUGUUUUCAUUGCCUGAAAUUUGCCUCAUGGUCCAAAUUCAUGCCUGACAUUGCUCCAUUGAUCCAUGAGGCACAAAUAGGUCAUAUUAAAGAGUGAUACCAUCGCCCUGGGGGGUGCCCCAAGGAUUUUUCUCCUUGAAAGAGAUGGAAACAGAGAUGUUCUCAGUGAGGCAUCUGCCUUCUCAACGGUACAGGAGCUCUAAUGUGGGGAUACUCAGGCCAUCAGAGGAGCCUGGGUUUUUUUACCCUGCUCUUCACUGUAAGACUGGGAGGUGCCAUGGGUUUGGAUGAUGCUAGAGGAUUGCUCAGGUGGAGUUCUAACAGGGUGCUUUGCCUGCAGCCUUUAUUAGAUUUAUGCAAUUCUUAGGAAAAAAACAAGGAAAUGAAGUAGGCUGUCUUUUGCAAACACAUGCAACAGAAAAAAACCCAAACCCUAACUUGUCCAACAACUUGAGAGCCACAAAUUCUGUUACAGUUUUGCUAAAUGAGAGCAAUAUUUCUCUUUUCCUCUACAAAACUGUCCUUUUAGACAUUACUGCAGUCAUGACCUCACCUGUGUUCCUGGAUUCCUUCUGGAAAGAUUAAAAUGAACUAAUACACAAAUGAUCUCAUCACAGCAUAAAGGACAUCUUACACAGGGGGAAAAAACUAAUCAGGAGAACUUCAGUGCUGCAUUUGCAGUAGCAGUAGAAAAAGAACUGUAACACCACUGUGAAAAAGCAAACUAAAGGUACAAUGCCAGAGAGGCAUUUUUCCAUCUUAUAAACCAUUUGGAUUUGUCCCACCUGAUCCUGCUUGUCACACUGGUCAUCCUCUUACCUGUCUCCACAUCUAUCAUCUUUCCUUUUUUCCUGCCUUUAUUUACAAUUUCCCUUGUCUCUUCUGUGCCCUUCCUACCUUUUUAAUAUUUCUGGUAACUUUGAAUUGUAUGCAUUACUAUUCUCAGCUACAUCCAAAGUGCAUUUUGUAGAGUACUUACAUACCUUACACAAAAGUAUUCACACAUACUUCAUCUGCAGUUUAUGUUGUUCUGGGUUAAGAACACCUUUUCUAUAUUUUCAUACAGCUCUCAGGCCAAGGGGUCAUGGAUGAUGACAGCUCUCAUCUGCUUUGGAGCUGUUGUAUGUUCUAAGAGAAAUCAGGAAGAUGAGUUGGGGGAGAUGCUUUACCUUCUCUGGUAGGAGAAUCUAUAAAUUAACAUUUAUGUAAACGAGGCUCUCCCCACAUUUUUAAUGUUGUGUCACGUUUUGAGGCUGGAAAAUGGAAUAUCUGGGAAACCAGCUUAUACUCAAGGUCUUUUUCAACACAAGCUUUACUAUGAUCUUCAGAACAUGAUAUGAAGAACGAUGAUGAAUCAAACAGAAGAUAAAUGCAGUGCUAAUAAUGCAAUCCUAUCUCUCGUGCCCAUAGGUGCUCCUCAGCUGUGCCUUGAGGUGACACCAUUAAGCAAGAGGUGCCAAACCGGUUCCCUCCCAAGCUGAAUGUCAUGCAACUGCCCAGGGGCCCUCUUUGCAGGGGUUGCACCCUGACUUUUCAAGCUGCUGUGGCCCCUUCCCACCCUGGCAGGAGGAGCUGAAACUGCUCUUUUACAUCUGUGACAUUUCUCAGGCAGCAGGGAGGGCAGAAGGCAUCAGGCUGUAGGGAGGGAUCAGAGCAGGCACCUUUAGACACUGGCAAAGAGACCUCCAGGGCUCAUCCAGAGGAAAUGAGCUCCCAUGGUGGUACAAAGGAUGGUGGUGCCUUUCUAUCCAUCCAACAAGAUUUGCUGCUCCUAAAUGGGGGAGCAAAUAUAUCCAACCCCAAAUGGUCUGCAGUAAAUAGAUCUGCUUCAGAGCCCUGAGCAGCGAUGAGUGUUGUAGGAUAUUUGCUGCAGCAUUAGGAAAGUCCAAAAAGCCCAAGGAGCAGUGCAGAGCAUCUGUCACCAGCAAGAAAAUACCAUGUGAAUAGCUGUUGUAAUUCCUGUCCCCAGCGGCCUAAAGGGAGGCACAGACUUCCCAAGGCAGAGAGGACCUGGAGAAUUUGGGAUCUUCAGUGAGAUCUCUCCAGAUAUCCUGCAGAUUUACCAGGUCAGCUCAGUCCAGGCCAAAGUUGCUGGGAAAGGUCCUCGGCUCUACUCCAAGUUCAGUGCCCUAUUGAUUGGAAGAGGUAUUUAUUGUAGAUCAGGAUCUUGAGCCAAGACAGCUGAAGCUGCAAGGACUAAAUUGUCUAUUCCUCACCUACAGAAAAAACAAAUGGCCAGUUUUAGCCUAAUCAUCACUUCUGCCUGAGAAAGGAGCAACUCUUUGAGGUGUGAAAUGCCAACUGAUCCACGCUUCUCCUGCUGUCAGCAGGGAGCAAUGUGUGUCAGAGGCCUCAUUCUCAGAGGGGAGGUCACCCAGAUCUCCAUUUGCACAUCUGCUUUGCACAACGCAAAACUCUGGAGGUCUGAAAAGCUCCAGUGUGCACAAAAUGGGAUGUGAUCACUGGGGGCCAUGCAGAAGGAAGUGCUUUUCCCUCUCAUUUAUUAGGCAGGGCAUAGAAUUUUUCCCUCUGUGCAAAAUUCUUCCUGCAUUGCAACAGGUGAUGUUUUACUUGUAAGUUCUAUGUUAAUAAGGAAAAAAGCUACACUUUGAAUUCCACGAGAAGACAGGAUACCAAGAGGUUAAAAAAAGAACCUCACACACUAGGCAGCUUCAGAAAGAUGUUAAUAUUCAGCAUGUCCCUGCUUGGAGAGUGCAGACACGAAGAUCAGGAAAGUGCCUGAUCAGAGCUCCUGGAGGGGCCGUGCUGCUGGAGCCUGCCUUACACAGGGGCAUCCUGGUUUGGUUCUGAAGGCUUCCAGAGGAGCUUUCAAAUGUUUCUAUUUCCUGCUGUUAGUGGGUUUUUUUCAUACCUUGGAGUAAGUCUUCCGAUGGUAAUGUGUUUGCAGUUGAUGCCUAGAUAAUGGUUCUUGCUCAGGGGAUCUCUAAUACACAGUAUUUUGUGCUUUUUACAUUUUAUACGAGAUCAAAGACUCAUCCUAUAUGUACAUAUAUGCCUAAUUCUUUCUUGAUUCCAGCUAGAAUCUAGAAUAUCCCUCAGUAUCUGCCAUAAGAAUGCCCACAACUAAGCUAUACUGAAUAUUUUUUGGUCUUAAUACAUUUGGCCUUUUAAUGUCAUAUGUUUACUACAUCAUGAUUCUGGUUAUUCUGCACUUAUAGGACAUUUUAAAUACAUGCCUUUCCCCUGAAAUUUACACCAGAAAUUCAGAAAUUUCAUCUUUGAUCAGAACAACUUCAUUACCUUCCUGAGCAAUAGGAAUGACAUUGAUUUCCCUGGGCUGUACAUUGUGGACAUGCUAUUGUACAUGUGUACAUCUGGCUGUACAUGUGAACCCAUGAAAAGAAAUGGGGAAAGGGAUACUGAUUUUCUUGGAAUGAAAUACAGAAAAUUUGGGCUUGGAAAACAUUUGUGUAUAAUAUGCUGAAAGUUUAAAGAAACAUUUUUAAAGAAACAUUUUCCAAGAGCAUGCCUGUUAGUUUUAUCUUCAUUUUUGCCAUGUAUAAUUAUGAGAAACACAGACAACUCAUAAGAGUUUUUAGUUUCUGUUGAGAAUUGCCUUUUCCAAGACAAUUCUGUACACUAUUACUUCAGCCCACUGGGUAUCAUGUAGGGAAGGUGUAAGAUUAUGCACACGGAUAUUUCUGUCUACCACUUAUGCGUGCUGAGACAAUAUCAACUUAUACUUUCUCCUGUCAUUGGUCCUUAUUCCAUGGAGGAUAUUCUUAAUUACCAGCAAGACAAUUUGGUAAUAUCAUGUAAAGUGUAACAGCAUAAUUUCUGUGAUGAUUUACACCUGCUAAGGAUCUGAAUACUGAAUUUUGAAACAUGUUUUAAGUUCAGAAGAAAGAGUAUUUUUUCUACGAGACACUAUUUCUAUUUUUAAUAGAAAUACUCUCUAUUACUUAUUUAUUGGCACAGCUCUUCUAAAUGAAAUGGAGCUUUUGAACAAAAAUACACCAUUUUUACACAUUCUCACUGCCCUGAAAAAUUUAGAGCACACUUCUGUACUGGAUUAAAUCAACUUGAGUCUAAAUGCCUAAACACUAUUUUUGACAACUGUGCAUGAGGGACGUGCCUGCACAGGGAUUCUAAAGAAUAAAAACCCUAAAAAUAUCUCAGUUGCAAAGAAAAUUCCCUGUAUUCCUUCUUACACUGCGUAAUAGUGGUUAUAUAUAUAUCUCCUUUAACCCUCACAGGUUUAUCCCCAGUUCUGUUGGAAAUGAUUGAAAUUAUUCCAUUGACUUUAACAAACUCUGUUUCCUACUGGAUUAAAGGUGAUAUUUGUGCGUCGGAUUUGCUGGUGAUGUCCUGCUAAUGAAACAGGUAAUUUUAUAAACAUGUCAGGGAGGGUAAGUGCCCAAUAAAAAGAUGUCAGAUAGAGAUCCACAAAUUAGAGUCUAUUUGUAAUGGAAAUAAAACCAGGAAUUCUUACUAUGAGUCAUGAAUUUCUUUAUAAUUGCUUCCACAUUUGGGGCAACAUUUUCCUGGGUUGUCUACAGAAACCCUGCAUUUCUUGGGGCUUUUGAGUUAUGAUCACAACAACACAUCCCAUUUCUGAUAAAAAUUACUUACUUUGGGAAGGAUUUUUUUUUCUCAAAUUGCUUUUCUGAGUCUUUAUCUACAACUAUUUUGUUAUCCUCCUCCUCAUUUUCUGUUUCUAAUAUAAAAACAGGAGUCAUCAAUUUAGAAGAGCAAUAAAACUAAAGAAAAUUCAGGCAGAACUGUAAAGCACAGUCUAUUUUAAAGUUCCAGCUCAGAUAAUAAGACUCUGGUUUGUGCAGCACCUCACUCAUGGACUCAGUUUUCCAUAGUGCAUUCAGUGUUGUAAUAAUGCAAAUCAAAUACAAUUUUAAUAACUCCUUCCAUUAAUGUUUUAAGACUGCAACACUUAUGAGCAUGAUUCUAAUUGCAUGAUUUUGCUACAGGCAAGUUUUAUAGAUCUGCCUGAUCUUUGGAUAUUUGCACCGUUUGGAUUAUUUUAAAUAAUUAAUUUUUGGAAGCAUUUCAGUCUCAGUAACAACAGUUGGGUUUGAUAGUGGUUGUCUUGGAGUAAUUGCAUGUAUCUGCUUCCAUGCCAGGAUAAACUAGAUAAAUUUAGAAUUCUUUGGAAGGAGGUGGCUGAGGUUUAUGCCAUGGCAAAUGUUAUGGACAACGUUCUUAGGAGGGGAAUAAUUAUAGACUGCGUUAAUACAAAGAGAAAAAGAGGUUUAAAGUUAAUAAAAUUUUGUCAUGCAGCACAAUUAGUUAAUUAAAUUGCAGGACUUUCUGCCAAAAGAAUACCAAAAAUACAAUCAACUUAGAAUACCAUUAAAGAUUCUUGUUUUAUGCAACUUCUAUUGCCAGUGUCUAAUGCACUGAGUGAUAGCAACAAGGAAAAUACGUCAUGAGAAGAAUUAGUUUGAUUUCUGACAUUUUUCUCUAUAUCUGCUGGUAGUUUCUGCCACAGGGGCCAUAGAAUCAUGGAAUCGUUAAGGUUGGAAAAGACCUCUAAGACCAUCAUUCAACCAUUAACCCAACACAGCCACGUGCACCUCUAAACCCUGUUCCUUAGCACCAUAUCCACACGUAUUUCUGAACACCUCCAGGUAGAGUGACUGCACUUCUUCUCUGGGCAGCCUGUUCCAAUGCUUGACCACCCCCUCAGUGAUGAAUUUUUCCCUAAUAUCCAACACAAACCUGCCCUGGUGCAACUUGAGUCUUUUUCUUCCCAUGCUGUUGCUUGUUACCUGCAGGGAGAGACCGGCCCAUACCUGGUUAGAACCUCCUGUCAGGGAGCUGUAGAGAGUGACAAGGUCCUCCCUGAGCCCCCUUUUCUCCAGGCUGAAC